rnacentral:lncRNA from 1 species
UUUCAUUAAUAAAAAGAGCUAGGGAAUAAGACACACUAUCACUUAAAAACACAUUUGUUGUGUUUAAUCCUCAAGCAUGACUUAUCAAUUAGGAAAUUCUGGAAAUUCUGGAUAAAAAAAGGAAAUGAGUAAGAUCGGAUGACUUCCCCUGUCACCGUUCUGGUGAAAAACAUGUUCUGGCUGAUCUGGUUUAAUUUUCUUGUUCCCAGCCAGAGUCGCAUUUUAUUUGCAAUAACCCCUGCAGCCCAUCUGCUCAGACAUCUUUUCCCCUUCAUCUACCCUUCUAACUCUUCCUCUCCCCAGAUUCCCGCCUUGUAGCUUCUGAUAGUGGUUGUGUGUGCUCUUUUGAAUGGCGCGGUUCCUGACCGUCCAUCCACCUGCAGAUCCAACUGCUGCUUCCUCCCCAGCCCUGGGAACAGGCCCUUAGUGCAUCUUCCAUCUCUUUGUUGAGACUUGCAGCUGUUACCUUGUAAGACCUACAGCAGGAGUAAGCCUGCAGCAAUAUUCACGAACUGAACUCUGGAAGUCCAUCCAGCCUUCAUACUCUGCAGACUGCAAGCAGAUGUUUCUAAGCAAGGCUAAUCGAAAGUGGAAGGAAGGGGGAGAAGGAGAAUCAGAAAUAAAGUCAACUUAUGGGAAGAACACUCGUUUCAAGGCAAGGAGGCUUCCUUAGCAGCUUUUGGUCCAGAUACGUGCUCUGUCAGAAGCAGGAAGUCUCCUGGAUGAUCUGUAGUGCCUGGAGCAUUUUUGAAAUCUGCAUUCAAGUGAAAGAAUGUAAGUAUAGCAUAGUUAUUGAGGUGACAACUCAAGCACUUCCUUGUU